rnacentral:rRNA from 1 species
UUGAACGCUGGCGGAAUGCUUUACACAUGCAAGUCGAACGGCAGCACGGGGGCAACCCUGGUGGCGAGUGGCGAACGGGUGAGUAAUACAUAGGAACAUACCCAGUAAUGGGGGAUAACGCCGAGAAAUCGGUGCUAAUACCGCAUACGCCCUGAGGGGGAAAGCGGGGGAUCUUCGGACCUCGCGUUAUUGGAUUGGCCUAUGUCUGAUUAGCUAGUUGGUGAGGUAAAGGCUCACCAAGGCUUCGAUCAGUAGCUGGUCUGAGAGGAUGAUCAGCCACACUGGAACUGAGACACGGUCCAGACUCCUACGGGAGGCAGCAGUGGGGAAUUUUGGACAAUGGGCGAAAGCCUGAUCCAGCCAUUCCGCGUGAGUGAAGAAGGCCUUCGGGUUGUAAAGCUCUUUCGGCAGGAACGAAAUGGUUACGGUUAAUAACCGUGACUUCUGACGGUACCUGAAGAAGAAGCACCGGCUAACUACGU